AGAGGACAGUGGGAAAUCCAGGACAAAGGGAAUGGGAGCUACUGCUAUGUAUAAUAAGAAUGCAAGCCAAGGGAAGCGUCAUGGUCACAGGGUCUCUGGUGCCACCUGUGGCUGUGUGACCUUAUUCAAGAUGCACUACUUCUCUGGGCCUCAUAAACCCCCACAGGGCUGCUAUGAGGAACAAAUGGGCUAAGAAUGGUGCUAAGGAUUUGUGAACUGAGAAACAAAAGGGGACGUGACUGAAUAUAAAGUCACAGUCCUGGCCCCAACUGAAGGGCGUAUGGUGUGCACGGUUGUCUGCCCGCACGUCCGGGUGGUAUUCCUCCUCAGGCGAUGGAGGUAUGGUGCUGACUGGUCCUUCAGCAGCUCCCAGCCCCUGUAUGCUCCUGCAAAUUACCAUGCUCACUCAUCACUCCCACGCCCCACCCCCAGAGGCGUCCUUCCCCAAACAACACACAUCCUCAAACCAAGGAUCCCACCCACACUCCUGUGCAGAGAUGUGGCUUCAAAUAAGCCAGCUGCCAGCUGCUCCUUGGAGCUGAGAGAAUGUCCCACCAAGACACAUUUCCCAGAGAAUGAGGAAGACUCCACAGCUGCUGAGGAGGCAAGAGACCCGUGCCGAGAUCCUCUCAUGGCCGGAUCCCUAAAGCAAAGUCCUGUUUGCUAUUAAGUUAGUAAAUGUUCCCCUUGAGUCUGAAUCAAAAAGGAGCCACAGAACCACAGAUUCAACUCUCCAUGUUCCAAAAUAAACAUUUUAGAGUCUCAAAACCCCAAGCUAGACUGCUCAGGCCCUCUGGGUCAGAACGUGGGACACUCGGCCAUCAAAGACUCUCACAAGCAAGCUGCAGAAGCCCAGAAACUCUCGUCAUGGGAUCUAACCCAGGUGCCAGGAGCAGUAGGCAUGGCCACCCCUCCCCCACCGCAG
rnacentral:lncRNA from 1 species